rnacentral:rRNA from 1 species
UGGGGAAUCUUCCGCAUUGGACGAAAGUCUGACGGAGCAACGCCGCGUGAGUGAUGACGGCCUUCGGGUUGUAAAGCUCUGUUAAUCGGGACGAAUGGUUCUUGUGCAAAUAGUGCGAGGAUUUGACGGUACCGGAAUAGAAAGCCACGGCUAACUACGUGCCAGCAGCCGCGGUAAUACGUAGGUGGCAAGCGUUGUCCGGAAUUAUUGGGCGUAAAGCGCGCGCAGGCGGAUUGGUCAGUCUGUCUUAAAAGUUCGGGGCUUAACCCCGUGAUGGGAUGGAAACUGCCAAUCUAGAGUAUCGGAGAGGAAAGUGGAAUUCCUAGUGUAGCGGUGAAAUGCGUAGAUAUUAGGAAGAACACCAGUGGCGAAGGCGACUUUCUGGACGAAAACUGACGCUGAGGCGCGAAAGCCAGGGGAGCGAACGGGAUUAGAUACCCCGGUAGUCCUGGCCGUANACGAUGGGUACUAGGUGUAGGAGGUAUCGACCCCUUCUGUGCCGGAGUUAACGCAAUAAGUACCCCGCCUGGGGAGUACGACCGCAAGGUUG